AUUGAACGCUGGCGGCAGGCCUAACACAUUCAAGUCGAGCGAGCGGCGGACGGGUGAGUAAUGUUUGGGAAUCCGCCCGCUAGAGGGGGAUAACCAUUGGAAACGGUGGCCAAUAUCGCAAAACCUCGGACGAGCCCAUAUGGGACUAGCUAGUAGGCGGGGUAGACGCUCACCUAGGCGACGAUCUCUAGCUGCUCUGAGAGGAUGAUCAGCGACACUGGGACUGGGGCACGGCCCAGACUCCUACGGGAGGCAGCAGUGGGGAAUAGUGCACAAUGGGGGCAAGACUGAUGCGGCGACGCCGCAUGGGGGAUGAAGGCUUUCGGGUUGUAAACCUCUUUCGCAAUCGAACGGGUAGGUGGAGAAGAAGCACCGGCUAACUACGUGCCAGCAGCCGCGGUAAUUC
rnacentral:rRNA from 1 species